CGCCACUGCUAUUGGGGUUCGACUAAGCCAUGCGAGUUUCUGGUCCUUGUGAUCAGAGCGGACUGCUCAGUAACACGUGGGUAAUCUGCCCUCGGGACGGGGAUAACCCCGGGAAACUGGGGAUAAUACCCGAUAGACAGAAAUGUCUGGAAAGAUUUUCUAUUCAAAUCCUACGGGGCCCGAGGAUGAGCCUGCGGCCGAUUAGGUUGUUGGCGGUGUAAAGGACCACCAAGCCUGAGAUCGGUACGGGCACUGAGAGGUGUAGCCCGGAGAUGGGGGCUGAGACACGGCUCCAGGCCCUACGGGGCGCAGCAGGCGCGAAAACUCCGCAAUGCGCGAAAGCGUGACGGGGGGACCCCAAGUGUGCUCGCGUUUAGUGAGUACUUUUGCAGAGUAUAAAUAGCUCUGAGAAUAAGAGCGGGGUAAGACCGGUGCCAGCCGCCGCGAUAACACCGGCCGCUCGAGUGGUGGCCACUAUUAUUGGGCCUAAAGCGUUCGUAGCCUGUUCAUUAAGUCCCUUGGGAAAUCCGCUCGAUUAACGAACGGAAGUCCAGGGGAUACUGGUGGACUAGGGGGCGAGAGAAGUCAGAGGUACUCCGGGGGUAGCGGUGAAAUGCUGUAAUCCUCGGGGGACCACCAGUGGCGAAGGCGUCUGACUAGAGCGCGCCCGACGGUGAUGGACGAAAGCCAGGGGAGCGAACGGGAUUAGAUACCCCGGUAGUCCUGGCCGUAAACGCUGUGGGCUAGGUGUUACGUCCUCUACGAGGGGAUGUAGUGCCGAAGAGAAGUUGAUAAGCCCACCGCCUGGGAAGUAUUACCGCAAGGUAGAAACUUAAAGGAAUUGGCGGGGGAGCACCACAAGGGGUGAAGUCUGCGGUUC
rnacentral:rRNA from 1 species